GAUGAACGCUGGUGGCGUGCCUAAUACAUGCAAGUCGAGCGAACGGACGAGAAGCUUGCUUCUCUGAUGUUAGCGGCGGACGGGUGAGUAACACGUGGAUAACCUACCUAUAAGACUGGGAUAACUUCGGGAAACCGUAGCUAAUACCGGAUAAUAUUUUGAACCGCAUGGUUCAAAAGUGAAAGACGGUCUUGCUGUCACUUAUAGAUGGAUCCGCGCUGCAUUAGCUAGUUGGUAAGGUAACGGCUUACCAAGGCAACGAUGAAUAGCCGACCUGAGAGGGUGAUCGGCCACACUGGAACUGAGACACGGUCCAGACUCCUACGGGAGGCAGCAGUAGGGAAUCUUCCGCAAUGGGCGAAAGCCUGACGGAGCAACGCCGCGUGAGUGAUGAAGGUCUUCGGAUCGUAAAACUCUGUUAUUAGGGAAGAACAUAUGUGUAAGUAACUGUGCACAUCUUGACGGUACCUAAUCAGAAAGCCACGGCUAACUACGUG
rnacentral:rRNA from 1 species